ACUUCCAUAACAACAAGUCACGUGGCGCCAAAACAGAAUGGCGAUGUUAUUAUACAAGUAAUUAAUUUGAAUUAUUCAGAAGCUCUUACAGUUUAAAUUAUAAGGUGGAUAGCAACUAACAGAAAUUUCUUAAUUUCUUAAUUGAAAACAAGUACAAAGAUUUAUGAAAAAGUUUUAAUCACAUUCAAUUUAUAUUGAACUCUAUUGAAAGUUUUUGUAUUGGGAUCACUAAAAUCAGAAUAUUAUCUAUGGAUCAUAGAAGUGGUUUAAAUUUAGAAUAUAAUUUUGGAUCGGAUCAUCGUCGAGAGUCUCUUCGAUCAAAAUAUCGUCCUUUUAGUCAUUUUGAUAAUAUGUCAGAAGGAAUAUCUCAAAAUUUGGACAGCCCUACUCCAGACAGAGCAGUAGACUCACGAAGGGGUUAGUAGUAUCAUUUGCUUACACUUAACCUCAGGGUUUUAUAUUUUUAUUCAAAUUUGUUUAGAAUAUUUUAUUGAUUAUUAAAAUUAAAUUAUUCUAAAAGUUUUUGAAACAGGGAAAUGUUAGAAUUUUAAGAUUAAUAUUUCUUUAAAUAGUGGUUAAAUUGGUAAAUUAAUAGUUUGCUCCAUCAAAAACUGGAUUUAGAAAGCUUUUUACUGAAAGCACUCUACGAACACAUCCUAGAUCAACAAAAAUCGACCAGCUAAAUAUUACUAAAACUAACGCAUUUGAAGAGUUAUGAACAAAUUGAAAACACAUCUAUAAACAUGAAAAAAUAUCUUUCAUGCAAGAACCAUGAGAUUAUAUGCUAACUUUUAUACUUGAAUAGGAUCAGUCUUGGAAAAUCUGGUAGGUUAUCAGUCACGGAGAAGAAUCAGUGAGAGGGAGAAAAGAGAAUUAGAAUCUGAACCUUUAUCUCCAAUUUCAAGCACAAAAAAGAAAAGGAAGAAAAUUCCCAUUACCGCUAAUUUGUUCGGUACAAGAUAUGAAGUCGUAAGGCAUAUGGCCCAACGAGCUGGACUAACAAUACAGAAGGAGGAUGACUCUUCUUGGUUUGAUAAUUUUUGAAGAGAUGUAACAAACUGUUUACUUAAUAACACAUUCUAUAACAGCUACUUAAUUUGGAGUGAUAGUUUUGUGGCAUCUGAUGUAAUUACUUCAUUGAAAGACUAUCAAAAAAUCAAUCAUUUUCCAGGUAUGGGCGAAAUUUGUAGGAAAGAUUGUCUUGCGAGAAAUAUGAGAAGGGCGAGCCGUUAUCUAGAAAAUGACUAUAAUUUUGUUCCAAAAACAUGGAUUUUACCAUCUGAAUAUAGUGAAUUACAAUCCUAUUACAAAGACUUAAAAAGAAGAAGUAAAAAAAAAACUUUUAUUUUGAAGCCAUCAAAUGGUGCUAUGGGAAAUGGAAUUAUCUUGUACAGAAAUGCUGAAAAAAUUGCUCAAAGCGAGCAAACUGUUGUUCAAGAAUAUUUAGAAAAACCAUUGCUCCUUGAAGGAUUCAAGUGUGAUAUGAGAAUCUACGUGCUAAUGACAUCUUGCGAUCCCUUAAAACUGUUUUUAUUUGAUGAUGGAUUGAUAAGAAUGAGCACCGAGAAAUACACUCCACCAAAUGAAGGGAAUAUAGAAAAGUUGUUUAUGCAUCUAACAAAUUAUUCCGUGAAUAAACACUCUGAAAAUUAUGAAAAGAGUGGUAAAAUUGACACUGGAAGCAAAAGAACAUUACAAUACUUCCGAGAGUACAUCAGAAAACGCGACAUUGACGACAAGCUGCUUUGGCGACAUAUCAUUGAUUUGAUAAUUAAAACUAUGAUCGUUGCUCACCCACAUGUUCUUCAUGCAUAUAGAAUGUGCCGUCCAGGUGUUUCUACUGGAAAAGAUUCAGUUUGUUUCGAAAUUUUAGGAUUUGACAUAAUGUUAGAUAAGAAGCUGAAACCUUGGUUGUUAGAGAUUAACAGAUCACCCAGUUUCGGAACUGAUGAGCAGCUAGAUUAUGAUAUAAAAUCGACCCUACUGUACGAUACUUUCAAAUUACUAAACAUCCGCGCAAGCGACAAACGACGCAAUAUGGCUGAGCAAAAAGCUCAAGCUCAAAAACGACUAUUUCAAGGUCGCGUUAAAAAGGAAUUAGAUAUAACUGACAUUCAAAAGAAGAAAAUUUCUCUCUCUAAAAAGAAAGAUGAAUUGAAAGAUCUUCUUCAAAAAGUAAAGAAAGACGCUGCUCGGGAUUAUUACGAAACCCAAAAUUGCGGGGGAUUCCAAAAAAUCUUUCCCCCUCCAGAUAGACAUGCAAGAGAGAGAUAUGCUAAAUUAAUGAGCGAAGUUCAUAAGAUAUCUAUGGAAGGUUUGGGAAAGGCUUCAGGAGCAUUUAGCCAGGAAAUUCUCAGAACAUACAAUAAUCCUUUGAAGGAAGAAGAUAUAUUAGAUCUUUUAGCUCAAUGUGAAGCUGAUGAAAAAUUAACUGAUAAAAAUCUUUCCAAAAAUAAGUUUUCUCACGAUUUGAGGCAUUCAAGAGGUUUUCCAGGAUUUAAGAAAUCUACAGAAGAAUUCGAUGAAGAUAGUGAUGAUGAUUAUGAUCAUGAUGAUCCUGAUGGCGGUGAAGAUUGCGAGAGCGAUAAUAUGGAAGAACCUUUUGCAUUUCGGAACGGUACAAGGCGAUCCCGUUCUGAGUGCUCAACUCAGCGUCGAAAGCUUAGUAGACCUAGCAGUAAAACACAUAAAAUCGGACGUACAACAAGUGAAGAGCGCUUUGGAUGUCAAGCUAAACAAGAAGAAGAGAAUUUAAAGCGAACUCUCAGUGCAUUAAAUGAUAUGCGUAUUAAAUUUCCUGGCAAAACAGACGAAGAGGCCGAGUUUAUUUUAGACAAGAUGAAUGAAAACUGGAAGUUUCAUAAACCCCGAAUAGCUUCUUAUUGGCUAGUUAAACUUGAUUCAAUCAAAAGAAGGAAAGUUUUAGAUAUCGUUCGAAGUAACGUCAAAGCUCUUUUGGUGAAAGUUUGGAAGAGUGCUGAUAUUGAAAAUAUCCGAAUAAAUCGCAUAUUUUCCAGAGUAUUUAAUCGGUUACUGUGGAGUCAUGGACAAGGUUUAUGGAAUUGCUUUCAAGCAGCAAGCCAAUCAUGGGAAACAAUUUUUAGUAAAUCAUCCGACGUUAUUACUCCUAUAGAAAUGCUUUGUUGUAGAAGAGUGGUACAGCUAUGUCGGGACUGCCUCUUGAUAGUUUAUCAGUUCGCAUCCGAGUCGAAGACAGCUAGCAAAAACUCUCCUUCUCCAGAUCCUGUCUCAAAAAAACCGAUUAGUAUUGAAAGAACAAUUGGUACUCAGUGGAAUCAAAAGGAUUCUUUAUCAAAUUUUCGAAUGAACAGAGGAACACCUAUAAGACAAAUUAAUCUAAUGACACUCACAUAAACUUCAAAGAUAACAUUUCCUUUACAAAAAUGAAAAUUUAAAAUAGAAUGCUAUCCUAUGAUAUUCAUGCAGUAUAUACUGACUAUAUGUACACGUAUAAUGACAAUAAAUACAGUACUAAGCAUAUGAUAUGAAAGUU
rnacentral:misc_RNA from 1 species